GAUGAACGCUGGCGGCGUGCCUAAUACAUGCAAGUCGAGCGAACAGACGAGGAGCUUGCUCCUCUGACGUUAGCGGCGGACGGGUGAGUAACACGUGGAUAACCUACCUAUAAGACUGGGAUAACUUCGGGAAACCGGAGCUAAUACCGGAUAAUAUAUUGAACCGCAUGGUUCAAUAGUGAAAGACGGUUUUGCUGUCACUUAUAGAUGGAUCCGCGCCGCAUUAGCUAGUUGGUAAGGUAACGGCUUACCAAGGCAACGAUGCGUAGCCGGCCUGAGAGGGUGAUCGGCCACACUGGAACUGAGACACGGUCCAGACUCCUACGGGAGGCAGCAGUAGGGAAUCUUCCGCAAUGGGCGAAAGCCUGACGGAGCAACGCCGCGUGAGUGAUGAAGGUCUUCGGAUCGUAAAACUCUGUUAUUAGGAAAGAACAAAUGUGUAAGUAACUAUGCACGUCUUGACGGUACCUAAUCAGAAAGCCACGGCUAACUACGUG
rnacentral:rRNA from 1 species